ACUACAGUACUUUAGUUAUUUAUUUCGUUAUUUAUCCCUAAACUGAAUCAUAGUCAUCCUGCUGAGCUCAACUGAAGGUUUAAAAAUGAUGUUGUCAUAUAUAUGUAUUCAUUUUGGAUGGAUCCAUAGAAUUACAAUAUAGAAUACGUGGUGUUUGCAAUCAGGACAGACUUGAGAGAGUCGGAGUUUACAGUAGAAAUGCUUCAGGGACUUGAGAGCUUAAGUCUGGCGGUAGCUUUUACUCCCCUGGCCCGACUGUAGAGGAAAGUGAGCUGUUUUUCCACCUGACAGCUGCCUGAUGAGCUCUGCCAGGGUCUCCAUCUCGUGGUUCCCCAUUUCCAGCAGCUCGUAGCGGAGACUGGAGAUGUCCUGUUUGAUGUCUUUCAGUUCACCUGUGAAACAUUACAUCCCAGAGAAAUUCCCUUGUUCCCCGAAGGAAGGAAAUGACAGACUUAGGGCUGGGUACGAGGUUGAAG